ACAGUUUGAUCGCAAACUCUGUAACGGACGGAGAUCCAAGUAUUCCAAUCCUCAACUGGAUAUCUUAGCUCGGGCAUCGACAACCAAGAUGGUCAAGAAAGGGUUGCCAACGACUAUUUUCUGCGUCGUUUUGUUGGUCAUCAUUGGGACGUCAGUGGCCAAUGCUUCCUUCCCAAAUUGCAACCGAGUCUGCACCUUCGAAUACAAUCCCAUUUGUGGCAGCGAUGGGAGGACCUACUCGAAUCCCUGCCACUUCGCAAUCGGAAGAUGUCUUAAUCCCUACCUCACCGCACGGUGUAAAGGACGCUGC